UGAGAAAUAGUGGAAUUGGCCCAAAUGGUUAAUAUACUCUCUCUCCACCGUCGGCUUAUCUCUCCCAUUCCAUCUUCUAAAUUUUUCUCCGAAUUGAGGAAACCCUAGGUUCAUUUCCUCACAAAAUCGGUGGUCUAAUGCCCCCCUUCCUCAGCGGCUUUGCUGACUCACCACCACCGUUCGCCGCCGCCGAACUCCGCUCUCCAUCGAGUUCCGUCAGACGGUAUCGUCGCCUUCUGCUCCUCGUCUCACCACGUCUCGCGGAGACCCGACUAGGACGGUGUGGUCCGUGUUCGUCGCUGGCCUCCUAUCGAUGGCACAACUUCUCCGGCCGGUUCUUCAUCCGUCAGCGCCUGGCGGAGCUGGUUUAACCCCUGCCGAUACCUCUGUCGGUCGCUUCCUUUGAUCCGAAGCUAAGUCUCCUUCUUUCCCCCUCAAUUUCUCCAAUUUAAAUUUCUAUCGUUGGAAUCGGACGCAACAACUUCAACUCUUGUCCCUCACCAUUCUUUCUCUGUCAGAUCAGAGGUGCUGCAUUUCCUCUCCGGCGAGAGCCGUCGUCGAUAGCUCCUCUCCACCACCCCAGCCGGUGCUGCGGCUGCGUAGUCGUCCGCCUCGCUGUCCCGGCGCCAUUGACAGCAGAGAAGUAGGGCGUCACCUCUCUGCGAAGACGCCGUCGAGCUUGGCUCGUGGUUGCAGUCUGACGCGGUUCAAGGCGCAUGCUUCGACAGUGGCUUCGCCGCCUCUCCUCCGCGGCGCAGCAGCUAAGUCCCUAACUUAGCUAGUUUACGUUUUCUUUAGACGAAGCCAUUUCUUAUUACCGAUUUAGAAUUGGGCAGAUCAUGGUGUUUCCCUUAUGAGCCUCAAACCUAGAGGUUGAACUGCAAAAGUUUAAGCAUAUCGUCUGGUUUUAUUGUGCUAGUUUCAGUAGGUCCCUAUAAGGCAUUUGGACAGAAUUCUAAUCGAUUUUUUUGGGGGCUACUGGCUGUUACCAUUAUUAGUUUCUACCGUUAUGGAUUCUACUUGAUGUUGCUAUCUGUGAUGCUUUCUAAAUGGUGCAAAGGGUGAUAGCUUUAUCUCUUGGAGGUGAACUUGUGGUGUUGUCCUUAGGCUGUGAAACUCGGCCUCUAAUGGUGAGGAAUAACUUGCAGAGUCCUUGCAGCAAGCUUAACUAAGAUCCUCUCCUUCCAACUCAAAGGGAGAACUUAUGGGAUAAUUUGUUAUGCAUAGAGGCUGCCUAUAUAGGAGAACUUAUGUACUUGUGAGAGCUCUGAUCGGCCGGCAGUGGCAUUGGUUUUUCUUAUUGGCUGCCCUCUAACUGCAUUUGGCGUUUUCUUGAGUGCUUAGUACUUAAUCCAUUUAUGAAGUUUGUAUGUUUAUGGCAGGUGCACAAUCUUUGACCGCAUUUCAUUGGCAAUGGCUGGUAUAAAUGGAGUACAAGCUGCAGGGAUUCAGCCUUGCACAGUGCAUCUACUGAGGUGCAAAUUCUGUUGGUUGGACUUGCUCUUUUCGGCCCAACUCUUUCUCACUUUUCUGAAAGGAGCUGAGGCGGGCUACUGAGGCUGCCCUUCAUCGUGGUCUCGCCCUCUCGGGCUUAUCUGAAAUUUUGGGGCGGAGACGGCCUGGUGAUCAAGAUCAAGGUCGAAAUUUUGGGGCCUCGAGUUGUAAUAGCGUAGUUGGACUUAACUUUCUUUCCAACAUGUACGCAAAACUCGUUUAAUAGUUGGUGUGUAUUUCUUUCUAGCAUUUGUAACUCAUUAGCUUGGAAUUCUUUAUUUUGUAUUUAUUAAUUUUUAUUUAAGAAAUAAAAAUACUCUUUCAUUCAUCAUCAAA